UAUCCAUCAUGUAUCUCUUAGGUUUCUUAUUCUCAACAAACUCCAUAUUUUCUAUUUUGCCCAUUUUUCUGUUCGGAAUCUUAUUUUUAGUGUUCAUUCACAUCUUCUUCAGAGACAAACACGUUGAAGAUUCGCCAGAUUACAGUUCGCUAACGCCACCCCAGUGAAUAAGCUAUCGUCCAAAGAUGCCCCCAGAUACGUAGCCUAUCUUAGCAUUCAAUCCUACAAUUUUAUUCAGCAUCCUGUGAACCCGGUGAGUUAGUGUUCGUCGAGUGUAACCUCUGUACCUGCAAUCCUCAAGGCUUUCCCAACCCUGUCUGCGCACGCAUGUGGUGUC